GGAGAAGGAAUCUGAGAGAGAGAGAGAGCACGGCUGAGAGAGAGACCGAGAGGAAGAAAGAAAAUGGAAGAAUAAAGCCUUGUGGGAUAUCAAAACUCAAGCUAAAAAUUAUGGAAAACUCAUCAUGAGGUCAAGACUCGAAGACCGAACAACGGGUAUUGGAAGGCCACUGUGAGCAUUUUGGAUGGCAAGCUUAGAAGGGGUCUAUAGCUGAGUCACCGUUUGAAAACCUACCGAGUUGUUUUGUGUGCCUCUGAGUUGGGGCUAGGCCUGAAAGGCCGUUGUCAAGCUUUUGAUCGUGAAGUAAACUUUCGUUAUGUGCAUACGUUAUGUAUUAAUGUUAAGUUACAAGUUAUGUACUGAAUGUGGGUAAAUUAACGUUUUUGCAGGAUAAA